rnacentral:lncRNA from 1 species
GAUAGCUACAGAUGAUCGUGAUCGUGAUCGGAUGACUAUGAACCGUUCCAGGAAGAUCAGAGAUAUGAUCUGGUAUGAUGGGACACGAUCCAACAGCCAGUCUUCACUUUGAGGCGCCAUCAAGAGAUCUAGUGCUGGUCGGAUGGCUAAGAAGCUGUUGGAGUCCUGAUUGAGAUGCAACUCUGAUGCUGAUUAGGUUUGAGGGCUUUAAAGGCCCCUGUGGUUAACAGAGAGUAUAGAGGAGUUGCUGAGAGGUAGCAACAACUGUGAGGAACCUUGUGCAACCACC